rnacentral:rRNA from 1 species
GACGAACCGUCCAAACGUUAUUCGGAAUUACUGGGCUUAAAGGGUGCGUAGGCGGGUUGGUAAGUCCGUGGUGAAAUCCCCAAGCUUAACUUGGGAACUGCCGUGGAUACUAUCAAUCUUGAAUAUCGUGGAGGUAAGCGGAAUAUGUCAUGUAGCGGUGAAAUGCUUAGAUAUGACAUAGAACACCAAUUGCGUAGGCAGCUUACUACACGAUCAUUGACGCUGAGGCACGAAAGCGUGGGGAGCAAACAGG